CUACGUGCCAGCAGCCGCGGUAAUACGUAGGUCCCGAGCGUUGUCCGGAUUUAUUGGGCGUAAAGCGAGCGCAGGCGGUUUGAUAAGUCUGAAGUUAAAGGCUGUGGCUCAACCAUAGUUCGCUUUGGAAACUGUCAAACUUGAGUGCAGAAGGGGAGAGUGGAAUUCCAUGUGUAGCGGUGAAAUGCGUAGAUAUAUGGAGGAACACCGGUGGCGAAAGCGGCUCUCUGGUCUGUAACUGACGCUGAGGCUCGAAAGCGUGGGGAGCGAACAGGAUUAGAUACCCUGGUAGUCCACGCCGUAAACGAUGAGUGCUAGGUGUUGGAUCCUUUCCGGGAUUCAGUGCCGCAGCUAACGCAUUAAGCACUCCGCCUGGGGAGUACGACCGCAAGGUUGAAACUCAAAGGAAUUGACGGGGGCCCGCACAAGCGGUGGAGCAUGUGGUUUAAUUCGAAGCAACGCGAAGAACCUUACCAGGUCUUGACAUCCCUCUGACCGCUCUAGAGAUAGAGUUUUC
rnacentral:rRNA from 1 species